rnacentral:rRNA from 1 species
AACUAACGCUGGCGGCGUGCCUAACACAUGCAAGUCGUACGAGAAAGCCGGCUUCGGCUGGUGAGUAAAGUGGCGCACGGGUGAGUAACGCGUGGAUAAUCUGCCCUUAAGUGUGGAAUAACGUACCGAAAGGUGCGCUAAUACCGCAUAAUGCCUGGCAACACAAGUUGUCCGGCCAAAGAAGGCCUCUGUUUACAAGCUUUCGCUUCAGGAUGAGUCCGCGUACCAUUAGCUUGUUGGUGGGGUAAUGGCCUACCAAGGCUGCGAUGGUUAGCUGGUCUGAGAGGAUGAUCAGCCACAUUGGGACUGAGAUACGGCCCAGACUCCUACGGGAGGCAGCAGUGAGGAAUUUUGCGCAAUGGGCGAAAGCCUGACGCAGCAACGCCGCGUGACUGAUUAAGCUCCGAGGAGUGUAAAAGUCUGUCGUAGAGGAAGAAACUAUCCGAUAAGAAUAUUGUCGGAUACUGACGGUACUCUA